rnacentral:lncRNA from 10 species
AUGGCCCCAUAGAGGAUUACAUCCUAAUCCCUGGACCUAUAAAUAUGUUUUGUUGCAUGGCAAUGAGGAAGUAAGUUUGCAGAUGGAAUUUAGGCUACUAAUCAGCUGCCCCCAAGAUAAGGAGAUCAUCCGGGUUUAUCCAAAUGGCCUAAUGUAAUCAUAAGGGUCCUUUAAAUGUGGAAGAGGGAGGUAGGAGAGUCAGUGUCAGAAUGACUUGCCAUGAGAAAGACUCAAUUUGCUGUUCUUUGUUUUGAAGAUGGAGGCAGGGGGCCAUGAGCCAAGAAAUGUGAGCAGCCUAGAAGCUGGAAAAGGCAAGGAAACUGAUUCUUUCCUAGAGCCUCAAGAAAGAAACAGAGCCCUGCUGACGUCUGGAUUUUAG